UACGUAAGGGGCAAGCGUUGUCCGGAAUCACUGGGCGUAAAGCGCACGUAGGCGGUUUGCCAAGUUGGGGGUGUAAGCUCUAGGCCUAACCUAGAAAUUGCCUCCAAAACUAGCAUACUUGAGUAUUAGAGGGGAAGCUGGAAUUCACGGUGUAGCGGUGAAAUGCGUAGAUAUCGUGGAGAACACCCGUGGCGAAGGCGGGCUUCUGGCUAAUUACUGACGCUGAGGUGCGAAAGCUAGGGGAGCGAAC
rnacentral:rRNA from 1 species